rnacentral:rRNA from 1 species
CCAAUAGCGUAUAUUAAAGUUGUUGCAGUUAAAAAGCUCGUAGUUGAAUUUCGGGAUCAAGGAAUCGGUCAUGCCUCGGUAUGUACUGGUUUUAUUGGUUCUCACCUUCUAAAGAACCAUAAUGUCAUUCAUUUGAUGUUAUGGGGAAUUAGGACUGUUACCUUGAAAAAAUUAGAGUGUUUAAAGCAGGCUUACGCUUGAAUACAUUAGCAUGGAAUAAUGAAAUAGGACAUCAGAUUCUAUUUUGUUGGUUUCUAGGAUCGAUGUAAUGAUUAAUAGGGAUAGUUGGGGGCAUUAGUAUUCAAUUGUCAGAGGUGAAAUUCUUGGAUUUAUUGAAGACUAACUACUGCGAAAGCAUUUGCCAAGGAUGUUUUCAUUAAUCAAGAACGAAAGUUAGGGGAUCGAAGACGAUCAGAUACCGUCGUAGUCUUAACCAUAAACUAUGCCGACUAGGGAUCGGAUGAUGUUAAUUUUAUAAUGACUCAUUCGGCACCUUACG